rnacentral:rRNA from 1 species
CUACGGGUCGCUGCAGUGGGGAAUAUUGCACAAUGGGCGCAAGCCUGAUGCAACCAUGCCGCGUGUAUGAAGAAGGCCUUCGGGUUGUAAAGUACUUUCAGCGGGGAGGAAGGGAGUAAAGUUAAUACCUUUGCUCAUUGACGUUACCCGCAGAAGAAGCACCGGCUAACUCCGUGCCAGCAGCCGCGGUAAUACGGAGGGUGCAGGCGUUAAUCGGAAUUACUGGGCGUAAAGCGCACGCAGGCGGUUUGUUAAGUCAGAUGUGAAAUCCCCGGGCUCAACCUGGGAACUGCAUCUGAUACUGGCAAGCUUGAGUCUCGUAGAGGGGGGUAGAAUUCCAGGUGUAGCGGUGAAAUGCGUAGAGAUCUGGAGGAAUACCGGUGGCGAAGGCGGCCCCCUGGACGAAGACUGACGCUCAGGUGCGAAAGCGUGGGGAGCAAACAGGAUUAGAUACCCGCGUAGUC